UAUGAAUAACCGAAUAAUUUCCCCCUUUUGUUCCAUCUGUGCUACCUCAAAUCCAAAUAAAGAUGCCUUUUAGUAUUAAAAGUGGUAGAAAAUUACAGGUAAUUAUCUUUGACGGUAAAAACGCUGUAAUCAGCGGGCUACAUCAAAAAUUACCCUAAUUAUGCCUGCAUUUAUGAGAAUGGAAAAAAAGCCUCACUUGGAUAAAAACCCACAAAUUGUCCCAAAUAUCUCCUUCAUAUUGAACGCUGCUGCAGCUGGCUGCUUUGUUCAAACAUCGAUCCCGUGGAGCUUGGCAUUUAACGGCCUGCAUUAGGACGGAGAGAAGGGAGAAAACAUUUUGUCAAUACUUCUAAUAAUUGAGGGUGAAAUGACAAGAUGAGCUGGACCUGGAGCAAAUGUCUUUCGGGGUGAAUGUAGGCAGCAGCGGUGCAGGCCGCUGGACCCUUCUUCUCUCUCCUCUCCAUAUUCCUCUUCAUACCCACUCUACCCCUCUCUUCCUCUCCCCUCAACCUCGCUCCCUCUCUCUAACCCCACACCUCUCUCUCUCCCUCUUCCCCCACUUUUAGGUACGCCUCCAUCCCCUCUUGGCAGCUCCAUCUCCUCCUCCCCCCUGCUCCCUCCCUCUCCCUGGUUGGUUUCCACAGCUGUGGUGAGUGAGGGGCAGAUGACCGGAGAAUUGGCCCCUGGGAGAGCGCUGAGCCAUCCUGGUGCUAUUAGGCUCGUGGCUAAUAAUAGGUGUUUCAGACCAGGGGAAGAUCAAUCAGGGGGAAUCAUGGGGAAUGUUCGGAGCAGCGCUUUUUACACAUCGGCCCAGAUGGAUGAAAUUACACUUGUCAGUUUUUAGUUGCAUUACUCCCAAAUUGGUUGUCUACUCGUUUUUCUCUCUCGCUCUCUCUCGCUCUCUCUCCCUCCCCCUUUUUCUCUCUCUUUGCCCUCAUUCAUGUGUCAGCGGCCCACUAAAGGGAUUCAACAGUGAAAUCCCUGUCAUUUUUGUCUUUUCCCUGUUUAGCCCUCAGAUAGAAAACUCUGUUAUCCUGCAUAUGCACUUAAAAGAAAUCACUUUGAGAUCUUGUUUUACGGCUCGGGCAAUUUCCACGUUAGAGAAAAGUGUGCAGCUGACAAAAUCCUGUGUGCAUGUGUGUGUUAUGCAUGCUAAAUGAAACAAUCUGAUUGAUCCAGAAACUCUAUUUCAAUACUUGAUUCAUUUUUAACCUCAAGAUGCAAAGAGGUUUACUUGCAUGCAGCUUUUUUUAGUGUGACGAUUGACUACUUUCUGUCUGUUUUAGAUUUAAUGUUUAGGGUGUUUUUAAACAAAUGGUCUGACAAAUCAGUAGACCUACAUCUAAAGACGAAAGUGACUUGACUUAAAGAAACUGUGAUGAACAUAUUUCAUUGAAUAAAAAGAUUAAUAAAGAAAA